rnacentral:rRNA from 1 species
UACGUAGGGUGCAAGCGUUAAUCGGAAUUACUGGGCGUAAAGCGUGCGCAGGCGGUUGUGUAAGACAGAUGUGAAAUGCCCGGGCUUAACCUGGGAACUGCAUUUGUGACUGCACGGCUAGAGUUUGGCAGAGGGGGGUAGAAUUCCACGUGUAGCAGUGAAAUGCGUAGAUAUGUGGAGGAAUACCGAUGGCGAAGGCAGCCCCCUGGGUCAAGACUGACGCUCAUGCACGAAAGCGUGGGGAGCAAACAGG